rnacentral:rRNA from 1 species
CCUACGAGUGGCAGCAGUGGGGAAUAUUGCACAAUGGGGUAAACCCUGAUGCAGCAACGCCGCGUGAGUGAAGAAGUAUUUCGGGAUGUUAAGCUCUAUCAGCAGGGAAGAAGCUGACGGUACGUGCGUAAGAAGCCCCAGCUAACUACGUGCCAGCCACCGCGGUAAUCCGUCGGGGGCAGGCGUUAUCCGGACUUACUGGGUGUAAAGGGAGCGUAGACGGUGAGACAAGUCUGCAGUGAAAGCUCGGGGCUCAACCCCGGGACUGCUUUGGAAACUGCCUGACUGGAGUGCUGGAGAGGCAAGCGGAAUGCCUGGUGUAGCGGUGAAAUGCGUAGAUAUUAGGAAGAACACCAGUGGCGAAGGCGGCUUACUGGACUGUAACUGACGUUGAGGCUCGAAAGCGUGGGGAGCGAACAGGAUUAGAUACCCGAGUAGUC